CCUACGUGCGGCAGCAGUGGGGAAUAUUGGACAAUGGGCGAAAGCCUGAUCCAGCCAUGCCGCGUGUGUGAAGAAGGCCUUCGGGUUGUAAAGCACUUUCAGUGGGGAAGAAAGCCUUGGGGCUAAUACCCUCGAGGAAGGACAUCACCCACAGAAGAAGCACCGGCUAACUCCGUGCCAGCAGCCGCGGUAAUACGGAGGGUGCGAGCGUUAAUCGGAAUUACUGGGCGUAAAGCGCGCGUAGGCGGUCUGAUAAGCCGGUUGUGAAAGCCCCGGGCUCAACCUGGGAACGGCAUCCGGAACUGUCAGGCUAGAGUGCAGGAGAGGAAGGUAGAAUUCCCGGUGUAGCGGUGAAAUGCGUAGAGAUCGGGAGGAAUACCAGUGGCGAAGGCGGCCUUCUGGACUGACACUGACGCUGAGGUGCGAAAGCGUGGGUAGCAAACAGGAUUAGAUACCCCGGUAGUC
rnacentral:rRNA from 1 species